GGACAGGUGACCGAGUGGUUAAGGUGCUAGCUUCAGGACUUCAAGAGUCUGCUAGUGGAGUUUCUCCGCGCGAGUUCGAGUCUCGUCCUGUUCA